rnacentral:rRNA from 1 species
GGUUAAGCGACUAAGCGUACACGGUGGAUGCCCUGGCAGUCAGAGGCGAUGAAGGACGUGCUAAUCUGCGAAAAGCGUCGGUAAGGUGAUAUGAACCGUUAUAACCGGCGAUGUCCGAAUGGGGAAACCCAGUGUGAUUCGUCACACUAUCGUUAACUGAAUACAUAGGUUAACGAGGCGAACCGGGGGAACUGAAACAUCUAAGUACCCCGAGGAAAAGAAAUCAACCGAGAUUCCCCCAGUAGCGGCGAGCGAACGGGGAGCAGCCCAGAGUCUGAAUCAGCUUGUGUGUUAGUGGAACGGUCUGGAAAGUCCGACGGUACAGGGUGAUAGUCCCGUACACCAAAAUGCACAGGUUGUGAACUCGAAGAGUAGGGCGGGACACGUGGUAUCCUGUCUGAAUAUGGGGGGACCAUCCUCCAAGGCUAAAUACUCCUGACUGACCGAUAGUGAACCAGUACCGUGAGGGAAAGGCGAAAAGAACCCCGGCGAGGGGAGUGAAAAAGAACCUGAAACCGUGUACGUACAAGCAGUGGGAGCACCUUCGGGUGUGACUGCGUACCUUUUGUAUAAUGGGUCAGCGACUUAUAUUCUGUAGCAAGGUUAACCGUAUAGGGGAGCCGCAGGGAAACCGAGUCUUAACUGGGCGUUAAGUUGCAGGGUAUAGACCCGAAACCCGGUGAUCUAGCCAUGGGCAGGUUGAAGGUUGGGUAACACUAACUGGAGGACCGAACCGACUAAUGUUGAAAAAUUAGCGGAUGACUUGUGGCUGGGGGUGAAAGGCCAAUCAAACCGGGAGAUAGCUGGUUCUCCCCGAAAGCUAUUUAGGUAGCGCCUCGUGAAUUCAUCUUCGGGGGUAGAGCACUGUUUCGGCUAGGGGGUCAUCCCGACUUACCAACCCGAUGCAAACUACGAAUACCGAAGAAUGUUAUCACGGGAGACACACGGCGGGUGCUAACGUCCGUCGUGAAGAGGGAAACAACCCAGACCGCCAGCUAAGGUCCCAAAGUCAUGGUUAAGUGGGAAACGAUGUGGGAAGGCACAGACAGCCAGGAUGUUGGCUUAGAAGCAGCCAUCAUUUAAAGAAAGCGUAAUAGCUCACUGGUCGAGUCGGCCUGCGCGGAAGAUGUAACGGGGCUAAACCAUGCACCGAAGCUGCGGCAGCGACACUAUGUGUUGUUGGGUAGGGGAGCGUUCUGUAAGCCUGCGAAGGUGACCUGUGAGGGUUGCUGGAGGUAUCAGAAGUGCGAAUGCUGACAUAAGUAACGAUAAAGCGGGUGAAAAGCCCGCUCGCCGGAAGACCAAGGGUUCCUGUCCAACGUUAAUCGGGGCAGGGUGAGUCGACCCCUAAGGCGAGGCCGAAAGGCGUAGUCGAUGGGAAACAGGUUAAUAUUCCUGUACUUGGUGUUACUGCGAAGGGGGGACGGAGAAGGCUAUGUUAGCCGGGCGACGGUUGUCCCGGUUUAAGCAUGUAGGCUGGUUGUCCAGGCAAAUCCGGAUAAUCAAGGCUGAGGUGUGAUGACGAGGCACUACGGUGCUGAAGUAACAAAUGCCCUGCUUCCAGGAAAAGCCUCUAAGCAUCAGGUAACAUCAAAUCGUACCCCAAACCGACACAGGUGGUCAGGUAGAGAAUACCAAGGCGCUUGAGAGAACUCGGGUGAAGGAACUAGGCAAAAUGGUGCCGUAACUUCGGGAGAAGGCACGCUGGUGUGUAGGUGAAGUCCCUGCGGAUGGAGCUGAGACCAGUCGAAGAUACCAGCUGGCUGCAACUGUUUAUUAAAAACACAGCACUGUGCAAACACGAAAGUGGACGUAUACGGUGUGACGCCUGCCCGGUGCCGGAAGGUUAAUUGAUGGGGUUAUCCGUAAGGAGAAGCUCUUGAUCGAAGCCCCGGUAAACGGCGGCCGUAACUAUAACGGUCCUAAGGUAGCGAAAUUCCUUGUCGGGUAAGUUCCGACCUGCACGAAUGGCGUAAUGAUGGCCAGGCUGUCUCCACCCGAGACUCAGUGAAAUUGAACUCGCUGUGAAGAUGCAGUGUACCCGCGGCAAGACGGAAAGACCCCGUGAACCUUUACUAUAGCUUGACACUGAACAUUGAGCCUUGAUGUGUAGGAUAGGUGGGAGGCUUUGAAGCGUGGACGCCAGUCUGCGUGGAGCCAACCUUGAAAUACCACCCUUUAAUGUUUGAUGUUCUAACGUUGGCCCCUUAUCGGGGUUGCGGACAGUGUCUGGUGGGUAGUUUGACUGGGGCGGUCUCCUCCCAAAGCGUAACGGAGGAGCACGAAGGUUAGCUAAUCCUGGUCGGACAUCAGGAGGUUAGUGCAAUGGCAUAAGCUAGCUUGACUGCGAGCGUGACGGCGCGAGCAGGUGCGAAAGCAGGUCAUAGUGAUCCGGUGGUUCUGAAUGGAAGGGCCAUCGCUCAACGGAUAAAAGGUACUCCGGGGAUAACAGGCUGAUACCGCCCAAGAGUUCAUAUCGACGGCGGUGUUUGGCACCUCGAUGUCGGCUCAUCACAUCCUGGGGCUGAAGUAGGUCCCAAGGGUAUGGCUGUUCGCCAUUUAAAGUGGUACGCGAGCUGGGUUUAGAACGUCGUGAGACAGUUCGGUCCCUAUCUGCCGUGGGCGCUGGAGAAUUGAGGGGGGCUGCUCCUAGUACGAGAGGACCGGAGUGGACGCAUCACUGGUGUUCGGGUUGUCAUGCCAAUGGCACUGCCCGGUAGCUAAAUGCGGAAGAGAUAAGUGCUGAAAGCAUCUAAGCACGAAACUUGCCCCGAGAUGAGUUCUCCCUGAGACUUUAAGUCUCCUGAAGGAACGUUGAAGACGACGACGUUGAUAGGCCGGGUGUGUAAGCGCAGCGAUGCGUUGAGCUAACCGGUACUAAUGAACCGUGAGGCUUAACCUU